rnacentral:ncRNA from 1 species
ACAUCAAGGGGUGCCUGUGUCUUUACGGGCUGAGAUUAUACCCUCAUAACCUGAUGCAGGUAAUGCUGCCGUAGGGAAGAGCC